GACGUAGGGCGCGAGCGUUGUCCGGAUUUAUUGGGCGUAAAGAGCUCGUAGGCGGCUUGUUGCGUCGACCGUGAAAACCCGUGGCUUAACUGCGGGCUUGCGGUCGAUACGGGCGGGCUGGAGUUCGGUAGGGGAGACUGGAAUUCCUGGUGUAGCGGUGAAAUGCGCAGAUAUCAGGAGGAACACCGGUGGCGAAGGCGGGUCUCUGGGCCGAUACUGACGCUGAGGAGCGAAAGCGUGGGAAGCGAACAGG
rnacentral:rRNA from 1 species